rnacentral:rRNA from 1 species
CCCCUAGAUGUUCUGGGCCGCACGCGCGCUACACUGACUACUUCAACGAGUUGUUUCCUUGAUCGAAAGGUCUGGGUAAUCUUUGAAAGGUAGUCGUGAUGGGGAUAGAUCCUUGCAAUUUUUGAUCUUCAACGAGGAAUUCCUAGUAAACGCAAGUCAUCAGCUUGCAUUGAUUACGUCCCUGCCCUUUGUACACACCGCCCGUCGCACCUACCGAUUGAAUGGUCCGGUGAAAUCUCGGGACGGCGGCUUGGUCGCUUGCGUCCGACUGCUGAAACUUGAUUAAACCAUAUCAUUUAGAGGAAGGUGAANUCGUANCA